CACGUAGGGCGCAAGCGUUGUCCGGAAUUAUUGGGCGUAAAGAGCUCGUAGGCGGCCUGUUGCGUCCGCUGUGAAAGCCCGGGGCUUAACCCCGGGUCGGCAGUGGAUACGGGCAGGCUAGAGGUAGGUAGGGGAGAAUGGAAUUCCCGGUGUAGCGGUGAAAUGCGCAGAUAUCGGGAGGAACACCGGUGGCGAAGGCGGUUCUCUGGGACGGUACUGACGCUGAGACGCGAAAGCGUGGGGAGCGAACAGG
rnacentral:rRNA from 1 species